UAUGACACUCUCUACGAAAUAUCUGGAAAUAAUUUUUACAAUUCUGCGAAACAUCUGGCUACAUCUUUAUCAAGAAAGAUAAAAAAUUUCAGUUUAUUUGCAUGUUAGUACCGUGGUACAACAUAUUAAAUUGAGUUAAUAUUGUUAGUAAAAUUUUGCAAACAAAAAGUUUAACAUGCCUAUGGCUACUAACCACUAAUUCUAAGUUUCAUUUUUACUAACCAUGUAAUAAAUAUAUAGUUUUUAUUUAAUUGGCUUUUGUCAUAAAAUUAAAAAAAAAUAUAGAACAUAGUACCUAAAGUCUGUCCAAACUCGCACGACGGCGGCAGACCGGCUUGGCGCGGCCCUGGAUGUACAACUUUCCAAGGUGCAGAGAUACCAAGUGUGCCUAUUCUUGACGACUAGGGAGUAGAACAGCCGAGGGAAGUGGGCGGGGUUUUAUGACAGUCGGCCGAAACGGUAUUCUUGAAAAAAGUCGAGAGAGGGAGUCGCUCCCCAGGGAGCGGGAAUGAUCGAUUGGUACUACCCAGUAGAAAGUCUUCUCCCCGGGGUUUCCAACCUCAAAUGCUAUUCAUUUAUGUCACCUUUGUGAUUUGUCAUUUAUCUUUUGUUUCUUGUAACGGGUAUAUCGAUUUAUUUAACGGGUUGCUUUCAAUUAAUUUUUGAAAUUAAUGUUGAGGAAUUUAAUAAUGUUGUCGUAAAUAAAAUUAUAAGUGAGGAUGUGGAUGAUGCCAUGGAACAGUUUGGGGUUCCAAGGGACACCCUGGAUAAGAGGAAUCCCUUUGACCUAACAGAUCAUAAAUUUGUUAGGCUCUUUAGAGUAUCAAAAAAUCUUUGCCGAGAGGUGGUGGAGAUGGUGUCACCAUUCGUUAGGGAGCCUACAAGAGAAUCAGCCUUGUCAAUAAGGACAAAGGUUUUAGCGACGCUUAGAUUUUUUGGAACUGGUAGUUACCAAGAGGUCACUGGGUCAAAUAACUUUGUGGGUAUUAGUCAAGCGUCAGCAAGCAGGGCUAUAACAGAAAUAUCCAAUGCUCUCAAUGAAGCUACUAUUUUAAAUCGCUUAAUUAAUUAUCCGCAAACAAUUGCAGAGUUGGAAGCGUUAAGGACAAGCUAACAAACAUUAGUGCUUAUAUCUUAAAGGCCCUUCUUCAUUUUUUUAUGAACAGCUGUGGAUGCAUAGAUUGUACCCACAUUGCUAUUGUGGCUCCUCAUAAAAAUGAUCCAAAUUUUCCGGAACAUGUUUAUGUAAAUAGGAAAAAUUAUCAUUCCAUAAAUGUGCAACUCGUAAGUAAAAUAACAUAAUUAUAAAUGUUAAAGAUUUGAAAGUUGGCGGGAUUUACUUUUUCUAGGUGUGUGACUCAAAUCUUAAAAUUUUGAAUGUCAACUCCAAAUUUCCUGGCUCAUGUCAUGACUCUCAUAUAUGGAGGCAAUCUCCUGUGUCAGAUUUCAUGGAGACUGUACACAGGAGAAAUCGUAACAAUGUGUUCUUUCUCUUCGGCGACUCAGGUUAUCCAACUCGUCCCUGGUUACUAACGCCAAUUAAUAAUGCCCGGAACUUGGGCGAGGAACGAUUUAAUGACAGGCUAUGCUCUAUUCGCUCUGUAAUUGAGAGGUGUAAUGCGGUGCUCAAAAAUCGCUUUCGAUGUCUUCUGCGUUAUCGCACUCUCCAUUACAGUCCCUCAAUGGCAGGCAAAAUAACAAACGCUUGUUGCGUUUUGCAUAAUUUAUGCAUUGCGAAUAGAGUACCUGAGGUUGAAGAGCCGCACCCCGUGAAGCCGGAUUAUGGCAUGUAUGCUCUUAAUCAGUUAAAUUUUUUAAGACCUUCUGCCAACGUAGAUCUAGCUGCUGCUAGAGCUCUACAGCAACAUAUUAUCAAUACUCAUUUUACUUAGGCAUUAAAAUUAGUUCGACAUUUUGUUUCAAUUAUUUGUAUUACACACAGAAGUUUUCUACUAUUUACGAACUAAAUUUUCUGCAAUCAUUGUAAACGCAUUAGCGAUAUUUUUAAAAAUUGUCAACAUUUCCGAAUGGAAUUUUUCAUUAUUU